AGUCCGGUGCUCUAACCAACUGAGCUAAG
rnacentral:tRNA from 1 species